GACGGAGGAGGCAAGCGUUAUCCGGAAUUAUUGGGCGUAAAGCGUACGUAGGUGGUUAUUUAAGUCUUUUGUUAAAUAGUGGAGCUCAACUCCAUAGAGGCGGAAGAUACUGAGUAACUUGAGUGCGGUAGGGGUAGAGGGAAUUCCAGGUGUAGCGGUGAAAUGCGUAGAUAUCUGGAAGAACACCAGUGGCGAAGGCGCUCUACUGGGCCGUAACUGACACUGAGGAGCGAAAGCAUGGGGAGCGAACAGG
rnacentral:rRNA from 1 species